UACGGAGGGGGCUAGCGUUGUUCGGAAUUACUGGGCGUAAAGCGCACGUAGGCGGCUUUGUAAGUUAGAGGUGAAAGCCCGGGGCUCAACUCCGGAAUUGCCUUUAAGACUGCAUCGCUAGAAUUGUGGAGAGGUGAGUGGAAUUCCGAGUGUAGAGGUGAAAUUCGUAGAUAUUCGGAAGAACACCAGUGGCGAAGGCGACUCACUGGACACAUAUUGACGCUGAGGUGCGAAAGCGUGGGGGGCAAACAGG
rnacentral:rRNA from 1 species